AUGGUGGCCUUAAAGGAGAUUUUAAAUAGUUAUGAAGCGGCUUCGGGGCGACGUGUGAAUUUACAGAAAUCCUCAAUAUUUUUUGGCAAGGGGUGUGGAGAGAAUACAAAGGCAGAGUUGAAGAGUGCACUUGGAAUUGAUUCAGAAGCUCUGAGUGAACGCUAUCUUGGGCUGCCAACACUGGUUGGUCGUUCAAAGGAGGGCACUUUCAAGUAUGUGACGGAAAGUUCCAAGUCAAAAGUGAGUGGCUAUAAGGGCCAAGGUUUGUCCAAAGCGGCGAAGGAGGUUUUGGUGAGAUCCGAACUCUAA
rnacentral:rRNA from 1 species